UCUCAGCACCUUUGCUAAAGCAAUUGGAUACUGUCACGUUUAGUUGAGACUGGGCCACCGAGUCUCCAUAGAAAUCUCCGCGGAUCUCACCAGAUUUGACCCAUAGAGGAUGAGAAUUAGAAUAUUGUACAGAAGGUAUAAGUGAAACCAAAGGAUAUGGAUUCAAGAUGAAAACAGAGAGGAAGAGCAUCAUGGGCUUGUGGUAUCCAUUUAGUUCAAAAUUUCUCCCAAUACCACUUUGCUGGUUAUUGAAGAGCUUUGACUAAAUGAAGCUAUCAAGUGAAAACCAAUAUGGCCAGGGAUGAAGGUGUAUCCAGGUGGGAAAUCUUAGCUACAGUAGCUGUCUCAGAAAACUUUUUGACCCAAACAAUCAUCAGAAGAAACAAAUGCCUUGAAAGUAGUCCUUGUGGUUUGUACAUGGUAAGCACAUCCGAAUCUCCAGGCUAACAAGAACAGUUCCUUAUAGGCUGACAUUCAUUUUCCAGGCCUAA
rnacentral:lncRNA from 1 species